UAGACAUGAUUAGGACGAGAGUGUAGUGC
rnacentral:piRNA from 1 species